GGGGAUAUAACUCAUUUGGUAGAGUGCUUGCCUUGCAUGCACAAAGCUCUGGUUUCAAUCCCCAGCAACCCCC
rnacentral:tRNA from 1 species